GUGCUCCCUUCGGCAGCACGUAUACUAAAAUUGGAACAAUACAGAGAAGAUUAGCGUGGCCUCUGCUCAAGGAUGACACACAAAUUCGUGAAGACUUCCAUAUUUUU
rnacentral:snRNA from 1 species